UAAAGCUUGGGCCACAUUUUACGGCUGGAAACACGACACAUGCUGCAGAAAUACAGGCUGCCUUACUUAGCUUUCCAUCCUGAAGAUGCGCUGGCUUCCUGUCUCGAGCUCUGUGGGUCGUAAGGACACCCUUCCGCUGGACCCAUCUCUGACAGCGACUUUGCGGCACAAAGAAAUGACAGGAGGAGGAGGAGGAGGAGGAUGAAGAGGAAGAGGAAGGGCAAUCAGAGAGCAAAACAGUGCUCAAGAGGUCAUUCCAGCCCCUUUGCCCGACCCAAAUGGACGCCACCUCCCUUACCCCAAGUUAUGAGCAACUGAAUUGAGACCUGGCCUGCCAAAUUCUCAGCUGGCGGAAGAAGAAAUGAGGAAGAAAUGGCAGUGGUAGUCAGAGCCUGCCCUUUGCUGGAGGCAGCUGGCCUUGUUGGGGGCUCUGCAGCUGUGACUAUGAACUCCUGCCCACCGACGUGGCUUUCUCCACUUGACCACAAGAACGAGUCUCUGCCAAGGACCCGAGCUGGGAAACUGAACUGUUUUGCAGGUUUGGAAGCCCACGCUCCUCUAUU